rnacentral:rRNA from 1 species
UACAGAGGGUGCAAGCGUUGUCCGGAAUCACUGGGCGUAAAGGGCGCGUAGGCGGCCCGAUAAGUAGGGGGUGAAAUCUUGCGGCUCAACCGCAAGGCUGCCUUCUAGACUGUCGGGCUUGAGCACAGUAGAGGCAGGUGGAAUUCCCGGUGUAGCGGUGGAAUGCGUAGAGAUCGGGAAGAACAUCGGUGGCGAAGGCGGCCUGCUGGGCUGUUGCUGACGCUGAGGCGCGACAGCGUGGGGAGCAAACCGG